rnacentral:rRNA from 1 species
CCUACGGGUGGCAGCAGUGGGGGAUAUUGCUCAAUGGGGGGAACCCUGAUCCAGCGACGCCGCGUGGGUGAAGAAGCGCCUCGGCGCGUAAAGCCCUUUCUGCAGGGAAGAAAAUGACGGUACCUGAAGAAGAAGCCGCGGCUAACUACGUGCCAGCAGCCGCGGUAAUACGGAGGGGGCAAGCGUUAUCCGGAUUUACUGGGUGUAAAGGGGGCGCAGACGGCGAUGCAAGCCAGGAGUGAAAGCCCGGGGCCCAACCCCGGGACUGCUGUUGAAACUGCGUGGCUGGAGUGCAGGAGAGGCAGGCGGAAUUCCUGGUGUAGCGGUGAAAUGCGUAGAUAUCAGGAGGAACACCGGUGGCGAAGGCAGCCUGCUGGACUGCAACUGACGUUGAGGCACGAAAGCGUGGGGAGCAAACAGGAUUAGAUACCCUUGUAGUC